rnacentral:lncRNA from 1 species
GGCUCCCCCCUGCUCGCCCUGCGGCCGUGGCGCCAACGCCCUCUAGCUCUGUGGAGUAAGUAUGAUGUGGGAGACUGGCUGGAGAGUGUUGGUUUGGCAGAGCAUCGUGCCCGCUUCCAGGAGCAUGAGAUUGAGGGUUCCCACCUCCCUGCCCUCACCAAGGAUGACUUCGCUGAACUGGGCGUGACACGAGUCGGACACCGCAUGAACAUUGAGAGAGCGCUCCGACAACUGCUGGACAACUGAACCUCUAACCCCUGAUAUUACUUAAGGGCUGUCACACCUGAACCCUAACCCUCUGUGGAGGUAUUCUGGCAGCACCAGUGGCUGUAACCUGGCAACACCAGUGGCUGCAACCUGGCAACACCAGUGGCUUUAUCCUGGCAACACCAGUGGCUUCAUCCUGGCAACACCAGUGGCUUCAUCCUGGCAACACCAGUUGCUGCAACCUGGCAACACCAGUGGCAGUAACCUGGCAACACCAGUGGCUUCAUCCUGGCAACACCAGUGGCUGUAACCUGGCAACACCAGUGGCAGUAUGCUUUCAGACGUCUAUUUUCCAAAGACAGCAUCACAUGGAGUUGAGCAUUUAGUAUGAACUUUUUAUGAAUAUACAAGAAAAUACCUCCUCCAUCGAAAUAUCUACAAUAUCGACAUAUUUUCCAAUAAUGAAAUUGAUGAUAAAUGUUUAUUAGGAAUAGAUAUAUUUAAAUAAAAUGGUGUGUUUCAUGACAACUUUAUUCUGUUUAGGGAAGGAUGAGAAGUGGUGGAUGAGACUUCAUCGUUAACCUGUCCGUCUACUACAUUACCCUGUUAGUCUACUACAUUACCCUGUUAGUCUACUACAUUACCAUGUUAGUCUACUACAUUACCCUGUAAAUCUACUACAUUACCCUGUUAGUCUACUACAUUACCAUGUUAGUCUACUACAUUACCCUGCAAAUCUACUACAUUACCCUGUUAGUCUACUACAUUACCAUGUUAGUCUACUACAUUACCCUGUAAAUCUACUACAUUGCCCUGUAAGUCUACUACAUUACUAUGUUAGUCUACUCAUUACCCUGCAAAUCUACUACAUUACCCUGUUAGUCUACUACAUUACCCUGUUAGUCUACUACAUUACCCUGUAAGUCUACUACAUUACCCUGUAAAUCUACUACAUUGCUCUGUUAGUCUACCCUGUCAGUAUAUUGCAUUACCCUGUCCGUCUAUUACAUUACCCUGUUAGUCUACUACAUUACCCUGUAAAUCUACUACAUUGCUCUGUUUGUCUACCCUGUCAGUAUAUUACAUUACCCUGUCCGUCUACUACAUUACCCUGUUAGUCUACUAUAUUACCCUGUCCAUCUAUUACAUUACCCUGUUAGUCUACUACAUUACCCUGUUAGUCUACCUAUCUACCCUGUUAUUCUACUACAUUACUAUGUUAGUCUACCCUGUUAGUCUACUAUAUUACCAUGUUAGUCCACUACACUACUCUGCUCAUCCUCUACAUUACCAUGUUGCCUACCCUGUUAGUCUCCUACAUUACCCUGUUAGUCUACUACAUUGCCAUGUUAGUCUCCUACAUUACCCUCUUAGUCACCUACAUUACCCUGUUAGCAUCCUACCCUACCCUGUUAGUCUACUACAUUACCCUGUUGUCUACCCUGUUAGUCUACUACAUUAAAUCAAAUCAAAUGUAUUUAUAUAGCCCUUCUUACAUCAGCUGAUAUCUCAAAGUGCUGUACAGAAACCCAGCCUAAAACCCCAAACAGCAAGCAAUGCAGGUGUAGAAGCACGGUGGCUAGGAAAAACUCCCUAGAAAGGCCAAAACCUAGGAAGAAACCUAGAGAGGAACCAGGCUAUGAGGGGUGGCCAGUCCUCUUCUGGCUGUGCUGGGUGGAGAUUAUAACAGCACAUGGCCAAGAUGUUCAAAGGUUCAUAAAUGACCAGCAUGGUCAAAUAAUAAUAAUCAUAGUAGUUGUCGAGGGUGCAACAGGUAAUCACCUCAGGAGUAAAUGUCAGUUGGCUUUUCAUAGCCGAUCAUUCAGAGUAUCUCUACCACUCCUGCUGUCUCUAGAGAGUUGAAAACAGCAGGUCUGGGACAGGCAGAACGUCCGGUGAACAGGUCAGAGUUCCAUAGCCGCAGGCAGAACAGUUGAAACUGGAGCAUCAGCACGACCAGGUGCACUGGGGACAGCAAGGAGUCAUCAUGCCAGGUAGCCCUGAGGCAUGGUCCUAGGGCUCAGGUCCUCCGAGAGAGAGAGAAAGAAGAAAGAGAGAAAGAGAGAAUUAGAGAGAGCAUACUUAAAUUCACACAGGACACCGGAUAAGACAGGAGAAAUACUCCAGAUAUAACAUUACCAUGUUAUCUACCCUGUUAGUCUACUACAUUACCCUGUUAGUCUACUACAUUACCCUGUUAUCUACCCUGUUAGUCUACACACUACCCUGUUAUUCUACCCUGUUUGUCUACCCUGUUAGUCUACACACUACCCUGUUAGUCUACCCUGUUAGUCUUCUACACUACCCUGUUAGUCUACCCUGUUAGCCUACCCUGUUUGUUUAAUACAUUACCCUGUUGUCUAACCUGUUAGUCUACUACAUUAUCCUGUCAGUCUACACUGUUAGUCUACCCUGUUGUUAUUCUACUACAUUAUCCUGUUAGUCUACCCUGUUAGUCUACUACAUUACCCUGUUGUCUAACAUGCUAGUUUACUUCACUACCAUGUUAGUCUACUGCAUUAUCAUGUUAGUCUACUGCAUUAUCAUGUUAGUCUGCUACAUUAUCUUGUUUGUCUAUCAUAUUACCUUGUUAGUCUGCUACAUUACCAUGUGUGUAAAUCUUUGGCCUAAAUUAGUUUAUUCUGCCAGGAAGACCUCGAAUGAACCUCACUAGUAUACAUGUUUUAUAUGAAUUUUAAGCAAUGUUGACAGGAAAGUUUCCAGUAUAUGUUUUCUAAUAUCCCUAGCUACUGGUUUGUAUGGAUUUUAUACCUGUCUGUGAUGCUGUAAGGCAGAGUAAAAGGUUCAGGACAGUAUUUUUACACAGAAAACGGUGCUAUUUCACUAAAGCCAUCUGUACAGAGCAAACCUACGCCUAAACCUAACCCUAAACCUAGCACUAAAACUAAACCUAAGCUUAAACCUAGCACUAAAACUAAACCUAAGCUUAAACCUAG